rnacentral:rRNA from 1 species
UAAUACAGAGGGUGCAAGCGUUGUUCGGAAUUACUGGGCGUAAAGCGUGCGUAGUCGGUAUUGAGAGUCGCGGGUGAAAUCCCAGGGCUUAACCCUGGAACUGCCUGCGAGACCUCAGUACUAGAGUGUGAGAGGGGAUAGUGGAAUACCCAGUGUAGCGGUGAAAUGCGUAGAGAUUGGGUGGAACACCGGUGGCGAAGGCGGCUAUCUGGCUCACAACUGACGAUCAGGCACGAAAGCGUGGGGAGCAAACAGG